rnacentral:rRNA from 1 species
CCCCACUGCUAUCGAGGUGGGACUAAGCCAUGCUAGUCGAACGACCCGGACUAUGGCGGGGAGUGGCAGACUGCUCAGUAACACGUAGCUAACCUACCCUCAGGACGGGGAUAACCCCGGGAAACUGGGGCUAAUACCCGAUAGGUGUGGAUUCCUGGAAUGGUGCCAUGCCUAAACGUAAGCACAUCCAUGUUUGUGUGCACGCCCGAGGAUGGGGCUGCGGCCGAUCAGGCAGUUGGUGAGGUAACGGCUCACCAAACCUUUGACCGGUACGGGCCAUGAGAGUGGUAGCCCGGAGAUGGGCACUGAGACAAGGGCCCAGGCCCUACGGGGCGCAGCAGGCGCGAAACCUCCACAAUUCACGAAAGUGAGAUGGGGUUACCUCGAGUGCCGUCUGAAGAAGGCGGCUUUUCCAUGGUGUAACAAGCCGUGGGAAUAAGGGGGGGGCAAGACUGGUGUCAGCCGCCGCGGUAACACCAGCCCCCCGAGUGGUGGGGAUGAUUAUUUGGCCUAAAGCGUCCGUAGCCGGCUUUGUAAAUCUCUCGUUAAAUCCAGCGUCCUAAGCGUUGGGCUGCGAGAGACACUGCAGAGCUAGAGGGUGGGAGAGGUCAGCGGUAUUCCUGGGGUAGGGGCGAAAUCCAUUGAUCCCAGGAGGACCACCAGUGGCGAAGGCUGCUGUCCAGAACACGCCUGACGGUCAGGGACGAAAGCUGGGGUAGCGAAUCGGAUUAGAUACCCGAGUAGUCCCAGCCGUAAACGAUGCAGGCUAGGCGUUGGGUCGGCCACGCGCCGCCUCAGUGCCACAGGGAAGCCAUUAAGCCUGCCGCCUGGGGAGUACGGCCGCAAGGCUGAAACUUAAAGGAAUUGGCGGGGGAGCACCACCAGGCGUGAAGCCUGCGGUUUAAUUGGAUUCACGCCNGGAAGGGCGAAUUCGUUAAA